CGUUUUCCUGGGGAAGCGGCGGGCGGGGUGGAGCAGCCAGCUGGGUCCGGGGAGCGCCGCCGCCGCCUCGAUGGGGUGUUGAAAAGUCUCCUCUAGAGCUUUGGAAGGCUGAAUGCACUAAACAUGAAGAGCUUGAAAGCGAAGUUCAGGAAGAGUGACACCAAUGAGUGGAACAAGAAUGAUGACCGGCUACUGCAGGCCGUGGAGAAUGGAGAUGCGGAGAAGGUGGCCUCACUGCUCGGCAAGAAGGGGGCCAGUGCCACCAAACACGACAGUGAGGGCAAGACCGCGUAAGCUGAAACACUGUUUCCAUCUUGCUGCUGCAAAAGGACACGUGGAAUGCCUCAGGGUCAUGAUUACACAUGGUGUGGAUGUGACAGCCCAAGAUACUACCGGACACAGCGCCUUACAUCUCGCAGCCAAGAACAGCCACCAUGAAUGCAUCAGGAAGCUGCUUCAGUCUAAAUGCCCAGCCGAAAGUGUCGACAGCUCUGGGAAAACAGCUUUACAUUAUGCAGCGGCUCAGGGCUGCCUUCAAGCUGUGCAGAUUCUCUGCG
rnacentral:lncRNA from 1 species